rnacentral:rRNA from 1 species
GACGUAGGAGGCGAGCGUUAUCCGGAUUCACUGGGCGUAAAGCGCAUGUAGGCGGAUGUCUAAGUCGUGUGUUAAAGCCCCUGGCUCAACUGGGGGGAGGUCAUGCGAGACUGGAUGACUUGAGGGCAACAGAGGCACGGUGGGAACUCCCGGUGUAGCGGUGGAAUGCGUAGAGAUCGGGAAGAACACCCGUGGCGAAGGCGGCG